rnacentral:rRNA from 1 species
AGUCGAACGAGGUGGCCCACAGAAUUUGAUAGAAACUUUGAGAGCUUGCUCGAGAAGUGGAAAGAGAAGGACGUGGAAUUUCCACCUAGUGGCAAACGGGUGAGUAACACGUGGGUUACCUACCUCUUAGAUGGGGAUACCAAUUGGAAACGAUUGUUAAUACCGAAUGUGAUCUACGGAUUAAAGGAAGCCUUUAAAGCUUCGCUAAGAGAUGGGCCUGCGGUGCAUUAGAUAGUUGGUGGGGUAAGAGCCUACCAAGUCAACGAUGCAUAGCUGAACUGAGAGGUUGAUCGGCCACACUGGGACUGAGACACGGCCCAGACUCCUACGGGAGACAGCAGUUAGGAAUAUUCGUCAAUGGGGGAAACCCUGAACGAGCAAUGCCGCGUGAACGAUGACGGUCCUCUGGAUUGUAAAGUUCUGUUGUUUGGGAAGAACGGCUCUAAUAGGAAAUGAUUAGAGAUUGACUGUACCAUUCAAGAAAGCCACGGCUAACUACGUGCCAGCAGCCGCGGUAAUACGUAGGUGGCGAGCGUUAUCCGGAUUUAUUGGGCGUAAAGCGUCCGCAGCCGGUUUAUUAAGUAUAGAAUAAAACUUCGGGGCUCAACCCCGUCUCGUUCUAUAAACUGAUAGACUAGAGUGUGGUAGAGGCAAGUGGAAUUUCUAGUGUAGCGGUAGAAUGCGUAGAUAUUAGAAGGAACACCAGUGGCGAAGGCGACUUGCUGGGCCAUCACUGACGGUCAGGGACGAAAGCGUGGGGAGCGAAUAGGAUUAGAUACCCUAGUAGUCCACGCCGUANACGAUGAGCACUAAGUGUCGGGCAACCNGUGCUGAAGUUAACACAUUAAGUGCUCCGCCUGAGUAGUACGGUCGCAAGGCUGAAACUCA